CACGUAGGGUGCGAGCGUUGUCCGGAAUUAUUGGGCGUAAAGAGCUCGUAGGCGGUGUGUCGCGUCGGCCGUGAAAACCUGCAGCUUAACUGUGGGCUUGCGGUCGAUACGGGCAUCACUGGAGUUCGGCGAGGGGAGACUGGAAUUCCUGGUGUAGCGGUGAAAUGCGUAGAUAUCGGAAGGAACAUCAGUGGCGAAAGCGACUUCCUGGACCAAUACUGACGCUCAUGUGCGAAAGCGUGGGGAGCAAACAGG
rnacentral:rRNA from 1 species